GGAGAAAAGCAGGGGAUCGAAAGACCUUGCGCUUUUGGAGCGGCCGAUGUCUGAUUAGCUAGUUGGUGGGGUAAUGGCCUACCAAGGCAACGAUCAGUAGUUGGUCUGAGAGGAUGGCCAACCACACUGGGACUGAGACACGGCCCAGACUCCUACGGGAGGCAGCAGUGGGGAAUUUUGGACAAUGGGGGAAACCCUGAUCCAGCAAUGCCGCGUGAGUGAAGAAGGCCUUCGGGUUGUAAAGCUCUUUCAGUUGAGAAGAAAAGGUUGUGACUAAUAAUCAUAAUUUAUGACGGUAUCAACAGAAGAAGCACCGGCUAACUACGUGCCAGCAGCCGCGGUAAUACGUAGGGUGCAAGCGUUAAUCGGAAUUACUGGGCGUAAAGGGUGCGCAGGCGGUUAUGUAAGUCAGAUGUGAAAACCCCGGGCUUAACCUGGGAAUGGCGUUUGAAACUACAAGAAUAGA
rnacentral:rRNA from 1 species